UACGAAGGGGGCUAGCGUUGUUCGGAAUUACUGGGCGUAGAGGGCGCGUAGGCGGCCAUCUAAGUCAGACGUGAAAUCCCCCGGCUCAACCUGGGAACUGCGUCUGAUACUGGACGGCUUGAGUUUGGGAGAGGGAUGUAGAAUUCCAGGUGUAGCGGUGAAAUGCGUAGAUAUCUGGAGGAAUACCGGUGGCGAAGGCGGCAUCCUGGACCAAUACUGACGCUGAGGCGCGAAAGCUAGGGGAGCAAACGGG
rnacentral:rRNA from 1 species